AUCGUUCAAUCCUUGUUUAGGAGGAUCGGAAGUAGGGGUGACCCAAAGGAACGCGGA
ncrna:unclassified sequences Glutamine riboswitch